UACGGAGGGUGCUAGCGUUGUUCGGAAUUACUGGGCGUAAAGGGCUCGUAGGUGGCCAACUAAGUCAGACGUGAAAUCCCUCGGCUUAACCGGGGAACUGCGUCUGAUACUGGAUGGCUUGAGAUUGGGAGAGGGAUGCGGAAUUCCAGGUGUAGCGGUGAAAUGCGUAGAUAUCAGGAGGAAUACCGGUGGCGAAAGCGACUCUCCGGACGGCAACUGACGCUGAGGCACGAAAGCGUGGGGAGCAAACAGG
rnacentral:rRNA from 1 species